rnacentral:misc_RNA from 1 species
GCCCAUUUCACUGCCUCCCCAUUGCAACGGCGCUGCUUAUGCCGGCUUACGGCACCGCCGGACGUGCUGCAGACGAGGUGGACGCGCCGCUGUCCCCGUUGAAGUUAUCCUCGACCACGGGUUCACCACCACACUCGAUGAAGAUGAUCAGCUUAGGCUCGGCGGCCGCCGGGGCAUGGACAGCCGCCUUGUUUUUCUUGUCAGAGCUGCUGAGUUGGGAGCUCGCUGCAUAGGUGGGCAUGGGCACCUCGGGCCCGGGGCCGAUCAUGGGAGCCAUACCGUAGAAGCCUGCGCCGUUGCUUCCACCGGCGGCGGCGGCGGCGGCGAACGCUGGACCUGCAGCUGGACGGUAAAAAAGCUGAGAGAACGCGCCCGGGGGCGCCGGGAAAUGUGGGACGGGGAAUGCCUGACGCUGCUGUCCUCCGCCGCCCACCGGCGCCGGCUGCUGCUGGUGGCCGUAGAGAGGCGCACGCACGCGAGCGUGCCCGACCGGCGGGAGCACCCCGGCGCGGGCGGGCGGCGGCGCGCCGGCGGGGGGCUCGGGGAAGUUGGGCUUGGCCUUGUUCCCAUGCACGACCCUCGCGGCGGCGUCGUACGCGCACGCUGCCUCCUCGGGAGUCGCGUACGAGCCGAGGCACAGCGGGAGGAUGCCCUCGGCGUCCAUGAUCUCGGCGACGUACAUGUCGCCCCGCCUCUGCACGCCACGGUACCUACGCACGGGCGGCCUGGCCGCGCCACGCGCCCCUCCUCGCUCGGCCCUCGCCGCGGCCGCCGCCUGCCUCGCGAGCUCGACCACGCCGCCUUGCAUCCUGGAACACACACACUCUCUCUCUCUCUCUCUCCUCUCACUGUCUGCACACGCCGGCCAGAGGUGCACUGCCUCCAGUCCCGCUGUGCCUGCCGUGACGGAUGGGCAGCGCUCGCUGAUGUGGAUGCGGCAAGGGUACACUGCAGUUUUUAAUAUAGGGCUCUCGCGUUGGCGUCGAUCGCGUGUGUGUG